AACUUGAUCCCCGCCAGCCCCCCUCCCAACCCCGCCUUACUUUUGGUCUCUCUCCAGAGCAGCGAACAUGCUGGCAUAGUUCUACCAUUUGUCAGCCAGAAGUCUGGUUACACAUUUGCUCGUCAAUCUAAACCUAACCUAUUCUCAUACGAGCACUUGGGGUUUCAUGUAAAUCAACCAGACAUUCUGUCAUUCACCAACAAUAUCUCUCCAUAGUAGACUACACCAAUGUGCCUCCAUGAAAUAUUUCACUAUGUUUGUGGAAGAAAUAUUCAAAUGAACGUGCUUUUUCAGGAAUGGUGACACCAGAAUGUUCUAAAUCUGUUCAUUACCACAAGGAUAAAUGGUAUUUCUGCCAAAGACUUGAUAACGGGUGCAGUAAUGCAUCACAGCACUUUCUGAAAUUAAAGGUCUGCCCUGAGAGGAUUCGCAUGCUUGUCUAGAAAUACACCUUUAAAAGCUAAUCUCCCAGGACAAACGCCCAGCCACAAAGAAGCCUGUCCAAGGUCAGACAAUUUAGAGAGUAACAAAGCGAAUAUUUGAUUCUUACCUGUUUGGAGUUUU
rnacentral:lncRNA from 1 species